rnacentral:SRP_RNA from 1 species
GGAGGCUGACGGCGGACGGAUCCUCGCCAAUCCGGUCAGGUCCGGAAGGAAGCAGCCGUAACGAGUUUCGAGCCGGGUCGCCGCUCAGUCUCCCAC